GAUGAACGCUGGCGGUAUGCCUAACACAUGCAAGUCGUACGAGAGUUUUUAACUCUAGUGGCGGACGGGUGAGUAACACGUGAGAAUUUGCCUUUAGGAGGGGGACAACAAUUGGAAACGAAUGCUAAUACCCCAUAUGCUUUCGAGUGAAAUGGAUUUUAUCCGCCUAGAGAGAAGCUCGCGGCUGAUUAGCUUGUUGGUAAGGUAAGAGCUUACCAAGGCGACGAUCAGUAUCUGGUUUGAGAGGACGAUCAGACACACUGGAACUGAGACACGGUCCAGACUCCUACGGGAGGCAGCAGUGGGGAAUUUUCCGCAAUGGGCGAAAGCCUGACGGAGCAAUACCGCGUGAGGGAAGAAUGCCUAUGGGUUGUAAACCUCUUUUCAGGGAGGAAUAAAAUGACGUGUACCUGAAGAAUAAGCAUCGGCUAACUCCGUG
rnacentral:rRNA from 1 species